rnacentral:sRNA from 1 species
CCUUUGGAGUAUUAUAUCAAAUGUGAGUAGUUUUAGGUUACUAUUACAAAAACAGAUACGUUGAAGAAGGAA